CUUGCUUCUGUGAGUCAGGUAUGGCUUUACUAGGGUAGGAUGGGCUUGGCUACAGGUCAGAUUAGCAUCGUUCCAAUCAUUUUUUCUUUUGCAGGCAACAGACACCUGAGCCAUGUACUCCUCCUGAUGGAUCGCAGGAGCAUAAGAUGGUAAGCCGAAACACAGAAUACAUCGCAAAGCCCAUCCUUGAAACUAGGACACUGUCCAUCAGCUACAAGUCCUAUGAUUGAGUCCAUCAAAGGUGAAGUAGAUGGAACUCCAUAUAGACAAAAAUAAAGGUGACAGCACUUCUCACAAAACUGGGACAACUAACUCUUUAUCCAACAUCUGCUGGCUAAAUAAAGACAUGACCUUCACCUUUUGGGAUUGUUAAUUUAAAAUGGUUCCAUAAGAGCAAUGCAAAGACAGAGAUAUUUGGCAGCACUGCAGCUGGUGAUUUAUAUGGCUCUUCACAAGGUGUUACUUUGGGGUAUCAAGGUAUGGAUGCUUAAAUCAGCUGCAGGAAGUAAGAAAGAAGAAAAAAGGAGUGAUAAAGAUAAAAAAAAAUUAACCUUGGUCCUUCCACCAAGACCCAUUAAUUUCCAUAUCGUCAUCUGCAUAAGAGGGAAGAUUCCUACAUGA
ensembl:lincRNA